rnacentral:rRNA from 1 species
CCAAUAGCGUAUAUUAAAGUUGUUGCAGUUAAAAAGCUCGUAGUUGAAUUUCGGGAUCAAUAUAUCGGUCGUGCCUUUGGUACGUACUGGUAUCAUUGAUUUCUCCUUUCUGACGAAUCAUGAUGUCAUUAAUUUGGUGUUAUGAGGAGUUAGGACUGUUACUUUGAAAAAAUUAGAGUGUUUAAAGCAGGCAUUAGCUUGAAUACAUUAGCAUGGAAUAAUGAAAUAGGACGUUUGACCCUAUUUUGUUGGUUUUUAGGAUCGACGUAAUGAUUAAUAGGGAUAGUUGGGGGCAUUAGUAUUCAAUUGUCAGAGGUGAAAUUCUUGGAUUUAUUGAAGACUAACCACUGCGAAAGCAUUUGCCAAGGAUGUUUUCAUUAAUCAAGAACGAAAGUUAGGGGAUCGAAGACGAUCAGAUACCGUCGUAGUCUUAACCAUAAACUAUGCCGACUAGGGAUCGGAUGAUGUUAAUUUUAUAAUGACUCAUUCGGCGCCUUACG